rnacentral:rRNA from 1 species
CAAGAGCGUAUGUAAAAGUUGUUGCAGUUAAAAAGCUCGUAGUUGAACCUUGGGUUUGGUUGGCCGGUCCGCUUUUUUGCGAGUACUGGAUUCAACCGAGCCUUUCCUUCUGGCUAACCAGUCGUUUCGGCGGCUGGCGAACCAGGAUUUUUACUUUGAGAAAAUUAGAGUGUUCAAAGCAGGCAUUAGCUUGAAUGUAUUAGCAUGGAAUAAUAGAAUAGGACGUUAUGGUUCUAUUUUGUUGGUUUCUAGGACCAUCGUAAUGAUUAAUAGGGACGGUCGGGGGCAUCAGUAUUCAGUUGUCAGAGGUGAAAUUCUUGGAUUUACUGAAGACUAACUACUGCGAAAGCAUUUGCCAAGGACGUUUUCAUUAA